AAAGUCCGGGCUCCACGGAGACACGGUGCCGGCUAACGGCCGGCGGGGGCGACCCUAGGGAUAGUGCCACAGAAAGCAAACCGCCUGUGCUGCGGCCAGGUAAGGGUGAAAGGGUGCGGUAAGAGCGCACCGCGCGUCCGGCAACGGCAGCGGCAGGGUAAACCCCACCGGGAGCAAGACCAAGUAGGGACGGCAAGCCGCUCAGUGAGGCGGGCAGGUGAGUUUCCGCGCCGCCGUCCGGGUCGGUCGCGCGAGACGCUCGGCAACGAGCGUCCCAGAUGAAUGGCCGUCGACAGGGCCACGGCCCUUGAACAGAACCCGGCUUAUAGACCGU
rnacentral:RNase_P_RNA from 1 species